GACGAACGCUGGCGGCGUGCUUAACACAUGCAAGUCGAACGGAAAGGCCUUUUCGGAGGUACUCGAGUGGCGAACGGGUGAGUAACACGUGGGUGAUCUGCCCUGCACUCUGGGAUAAGCCUGGGAAACUGGGUCUAAUACCGGAUAGGACCGCACUUUAGUGUGUGUGGUGGAAAGUUUUUUCGGUGUAGGAUGAGCCCGCGGCCUAUCAGCUUGUUGGUGGGGUAAUGGCCUACCAAGGCGGCGACUGGUAGCCGGACUGAGAGGUUGGUCGGCCACAUUGGGACUGAGAUACGGCCCAGACUCCUACGGGAGGCAGCAGUGGGGAAUAUUGCACAAUGGGCGCAAGCCUGAUGCAGCGACGCCGCGUGGGGGAUGACGGCCUUCGGGUUGUAAACUCCUUUCGCCAGGGACGAAGCGUUUUGUGACGGUACCUGGAGAAGAAGCACCGGCUAACUACGUG
rnacentral:rRNA from 1 species